rnacentral:lncRNA from 1 species
GGGGAAGGUUAGGAAGGAGGCAAUGAUCCAAUGAAUAUAGAAGAACUGGCCGAUUCACAGGAAACUUGCUUUGGAUAAGGUGAGUCAAUGGGUGAUAUUGUGCAGGCAGGGAGGGAAAUUUCUUUGUACAAAUUCAUGUCCCUGGCCAGGCAUGGCCCAGGAGUUCAAGACCAGCCUGGGAAACAGAGUGAAACUCCAUCUCUACUUAAAAAAAAAAA